UCUUCUUUGGUAAAUUUUAGGUAGUAAAAAUAAUAAUUUUCUUGAAAAUAUUGAAAAAAAAAAAAAAGAAUUUGACCGUUCUGUUUGUACUUGCCAGACCAAAUAUUAACAAUCCACUUGCUGGUACGUAUUUAAUUAUAUUCAAAAGAUGUAUGUAUUGAAAUAAGACAAACUAAACAAAUUUUAGCAGAUCGGCAUUACUGAUCAGCAGCUUUUUAUUUUCACUUUUAUCUCAGCACGCACAAGGUAUUACCAAAUUGUACUCUAGACUUUCAACUCAACUCUGGUUAUUUUGGAGGAAACGCAAUAACGUUUAAGCCUUUUGAAGGCUGCCGUCACUGAAUUUUUUGAAGAAAACAAAACAAAUAAAUUGUUUUUAAUACAAGCGUAGGAAAAUUCCAAACAAAAUUAUUAAAAAUGAUGAAUAAAGCCUUUGAAAAAAUGUAAAUAAUAUUUGGCGAUAGUUUGUACAAAAGAGCAGAUCGAAAAAUUAGCAUGGUACCUGAUGUAAGCCCCGAAGGGUUUGCGGAGGAGGUGUGUCGAUAACCAGGCCCAGAGUACCCUUAAAGUUUAUGUGAUCCUGUGUCCAUAUACACACCAGGUUGGACCAAGAGCUUCGAAAUCUCUUUUGGCUGGCAUGAUACACGCCUGUAUGUUAAAAUUCAACUUUGAUCAGCAGCGACAACGUGUAUGGCUGGCAGUUAAUGUGUUAAGGUCAUAAUAAAAUUAAAUUAAUAAAUAUACUGCUUAUAAAGUGGGGGACCAACGCUGAGAUGACUCUCUUUUGCACAACACGUGUCCAGACUACCAAAUAAAAUCCAGCCUGGGAUACAGACCUAUAUAUGAAUUCUAAUUUAUAAUUUUACCACGACCAGAGCACGUGUUUAUCUUCAGCUUCAGAGGAAGAACAUCUCAGACUUAUUCUGCAAAACCACUUCACCGGAUAUGCUCCAUUUUUGUCAUCCUUGCUGACAAUAUGUUCCGCAACCACUUUACACACUGCAACCAUUUAUUGUUUAAUUAUUUAUUUGUCAGAAAAUUAUUGACUUGGUUUUUACCAAAUUAGUAUCACCAGAUAUGCUGCAGAGUAAGAUAGUAGAGAAAGAAACUCUACUGCUCGUAGAGGGGGAGGACGGAAGGGAUGGGAGACAUCGCUCUGGAAGGGGCUUCAUUCAUAAAUGCUUGGUGAGGCGUCAAUGGAUGCGCCUGUAACCAACCUCGACAGAAUUUCUUCUCUCUUGCUCUCAUUCCAGGACUUAUUUCCCGAGCUUUUUUAUCUUUUUCUCCCUCCAAUUUAAACAGCCGACUCUUUCAUCAUCUUCUUCUUCUUCUUCUUCUUCUUCUUCUUCUUCUUCUUCCCUUUCUCAUCUCCGAAGAACCAAACCAAACUGCUCGACCAAAUUCUUCAAAAUAAAAUCCCUUAUCAAUUUAUAUUUUUAAAAGUUUAAACUAUAAAGUAGUAAGUACAUUUAUGUUGUUAUUAUACGCGCAGGCUAUGAAAUGUUUAUUUAAAUUAUUUGCUCCAGCUCGUGACGAUAAAAGAAAAGCAGGAGGGUCUGGUAUGCGAAAAACGAGACGCCGGAUGUGUGACAUCAUCUGUACGGGUCCCAAUCGCUCAACGAUUCCCAUCAUCAGGGCAAAGGCAUCAUGAGUUUAAUCAAAAAUUUCGCUGCUACACAUUUAAAUGCCUAUUUUGUUAUUAUUGCAACAUAUCCAGAGGUGUAUGAUGGAAUGCCAGCGGAUAUGGUAGUCCAAGGUCAGACCAAAAGCAACCGAUCAUCAACUGCUGGAUCUUUGCCACGGAGUUUAUUACUAUACAGCGAGUACUUAACUUGCCACUUAUUAUUUCCAACUGUUUAGUCAGGACUGGACUUACUCCAUUAUCGACGCCUUGGUAGCCCUAUUUAGCAUCACAAUAACAAUGUAAUUUUAUUAUCAUAAAAUUUACGUACAGAAAACAGUGUAGUGAGCUUUCUCCUGGUUAUCUCAAAAUUUAACUCAACCAGACCUCUGUUGAUUCGUCGGGCUUCCAUUAAACUCAACAUUCAAUUUUAUUAACACUUGUAGCAACACCUGUUGUCAAUAAUCAAUAACAAUAACUGUUUAUUAACAACUAUUCUCUCCAACAAUAUAAAUAAUAACAAUAAGAAGAUACCCUCGACUACCAAAAAACUGAUGGAAUUUUAUUGGUUUUUAUUGAUCUGUAUACGUUUAAAGUUUUUCCAUAAUGUUCUUAAGAGCAUGGCAUAUCAGAGUAGCCGAGUCUUGACAUAACACAGGCCCUGAUGUCUCCGUAAUUGUACUCCAACUCCCAGGUGGUCGUCUCGUCUGGAAAUAUAGUUAACAUUUUUAGAAAAAAAACUUUACUUUCAUUUAUAAUCAUCCAAAUUAUGUACAAAGGUGCGAAAGUGCUGGAACAUGAAAAAAAAAAAAAAAAAAUAUUAAAAGCAAUUCAGGUCAGCAAUGAUCGAUUAUUACAAACUAUAUGGAAGAAUUUUGUUGGGUAAAAUUUGAGCACCAACUGCGAGUACAUAUAAAAUAAUGAUAUAUCCGAAAUCGGGACACGGAUCGCACGCGACGUUCAAGGAGCAUAAUAACUUGGGCUGCCCUUACAUCCGGCGAAGGGUCUAACCAACGCAAAUAUAAAGGAAUUGCGUGUACUAUCAUAAAUGUAGUCCAGAGAAACUUGUCCUACGUAUAGUAGUAAAAUCAUAAAACGCAAACGACGCGUGAGUUUUUGCCACGCAUAGACCAUUUUUCCCCACUAUCUGAUACCAUAAAUCUUCCUAGAUAGCAAAAGGGCUGAUAGACCAUGAUACUAUUGUAUAAAUGAGGAAAAGAAAAUAAAGGAAAGUAUUGUGUUUGAAGGAAGAAAACACUGAAUAAGACCCCAGUCUUUGUGGUGAUGUUAAAGAGAAACCCAACGGAAUUUUCCAGGGCUUUGAAAAAGGUCUACAGGAUACUGCCCAGGCAGUUCAAGUGAUUCCUUGGAAAAGCCGUCAAAGUGCCGAUCUAUUCUCAGCAAAAC
rnacentral:lncRNA from 1 species